UGAGAGUGCUUGUAGCUCAGUCCCAGAGGUGCUUACAGAUCAGUCCUCAGUGGACUUGUAGGCUCACUGCUGAAAGUUCUUAUGGCUCAGUCCCAGAAGUGUUUGCAGCUCAGUGCAGGAGAUGGAGGUGUAUCUCAGGGGCCUUAGGAGGAGUGUUCCAAGAACUGCUUUUACACCUUGUGGAGGCUUAUUUAUAAGCAACCACAGAGCAGACCCUUCCCCUGCCUUCACAAAGAAGAAACAAAAAGGCCAGGAUUGUCAAUGGAGUGGAACCGGCAGCAGUUUUGAUAUGAUCUUGAUCUGCAGGCCACCGCGGGAUCCUGAUGGGCAUGAGAGCGGCGGCAGGGGUGAGGGGAGGGGAGGCAAGCUGUGGCUGGCACGCUAACAAGCUCUGGACAGGCUGUAGCUAGGUUGUAUCAGGUUGCCUUGCUUUUCACUGGUGCACAGGAGAACCUAGCAAGCUUUCCAAAAUAGGCCCUGCCCACCAGUAUGACAUCACAAGGAGCCUGGACGAUGAUUGGAUGGCCCCCACAAUGGAGGCUGGAACCUUGAAUUCAGUGUAGGCGUUCUUCCCUAUGACUGCUAGGGAAUUGAGGAUGAGUUUUGACUUGAAGACUCCAGGCAACGGUGGUAUCCAAGGCUGUGACAAGAGGUCACUGGGGUAUGGGAGGUCAGCUUUAGGGGAUAUCUUUUGAUGAGAUCUCCCUACAACAGCGCUCCGUACCUCCAGUGGCCCCUUCCUUGAAUUUCAACAAGGCUGUGCUACUGUGAGCAGGAUGCGGAAUAGCCACCUGUGCUAAAGCAAGCAGCUUGGAGGAGGAGGGAAGAAGAAUGCAGCCAAGAGCUACACGUGCAUAGAAAGUAUCAGGCUCUGGAGGAAACGGAGGAGGAGUCCGAAUCCAGAUCAUAUUUGCUCCAACUCAGAGGCACAUCUGGGCCUUUUGCUUUUCUUAGCAGUAGCAAGCAUCUCCUUUUAAGAGAAGCAGGCUGGAAGGAGGCAAACUUUGUAAACCAGAACUUCAGGGAUGAAAUCAGAGCUCGAUUCUAUAGGAUGCAAUUCUCGGCUUUCUAGUCUGUACCUCACAUCCAGCACCGUCACUUUCAUGAAGGCUCCAGCGGAGGCAGCAGCAAUCCGGAUGCAUUGCGCAAUGAGAAAUGUGUCCAUUUCCUUAGCCCGAACUGAGCUGGGGUCUUACCUCUCUGGGCACAAGAAGGGGAAGUAGGUGGGAGGGGAGGUUGAGUAAGGAGGCCUGAAUCUCCAGAGCAGCUCUUCUGAGCCCAGAGUUCAAACCCACCUCCGGAGAGGUGUGUAGAGGAUUCAAAGGUCAGGUGUCACGUUUGUUUACAAGAGCGGGAUGCUCUGAAAUGCUUGCCCCUCCUUUGCCUGGGGAUGACAUCACUGCCUAACUACUCUGCCAGCAUCACUAAGCUACAUCUGCAAAUGCACUUUGGGGAAGCAGGGGUUCUUAACUAAUAAAGCACGUUACCAUCUGCCAUAUAUAUAUAUAUAU
rnacentral:lncRNA from 1 species